UGUAAUUCACUAAAUAAAAGUAUAAGGAUCAAACUGUAAUUGUAUAAGAGCUACAUGGAUAUAAUUUGGGAGAGAGACUUACGGCUACAACUCUCUCCCGGAGUUUCUGCCAUUCUUCACAAAUGAGUGAGAGAGUAGGCAACCCACCUCCAAGGGGUGCGACUAUCAAUUUUCAUAAUUUCUGGAUGUUUUAAGAAAACUUCUUAGCCAGCAAUUUGCCUUUUCAGAUGGACCAAUAAAAAUAGUUCACAUUGAAAGCUAUUGAAUAUCUCUAAGAAAAAUCCGACUCUGUCGACUUUGGAAAGAAUUCUGGCUUGUCAAUGGAAAGCUUCCAGAAAUUGGCCAACUCUACCUGCUAGAUGCCAAAUUCGUAGGCCUACCAUGUGGCAACUGCUUGCCAAUCUAGCCCGUCAGCCAAUCAGAGCGCAUCGUCCAUCACUGACACCAGCUGCGUACCUCACUCUGUGUUUCGCUGGCCCAAGCACAUAGUGGCCCCGUGUUCUUUACUAUUCGUGCGUCCUGCCUGCCUGCCAGCUGAAACGAGGAUUAGUUGGCUUUCUCCGUAGGCUUAUGACUGCGCGCGCUCCUAGCUCUGCGCACUCAGCACUCCCAGCACGCUCGCAUGCCUCCUUGUCACAGGCUUAAUGAUUCCAACCCCAAAAAUCGCUUAAGCCGUGCGGCACUCAGCUCAGUCCGUCGAGCUAAGUCAGCCUAACCUCACUAUCACGCAGCGGAAAGUAAUUUGAAGGGUUGUGAAGAGCUCGGCCAGCUUCUUGUGGGAUGAAGGAAGCUAAACUAGCUAAACUAGCUAGAAGGGAAGAGAAUUGGGGAAAAUGGCUUUUAUAUUACACUUGGAAAAAUUUACAAGGCAAGUAUACAAGAAAGCUCACAAAUACACCACAAAGUGUGUACAAGGUGUCCCAAAGGCUCUUUAGGUGUUGGAGGCUUCUACUCUCUAAGUUCUUCUUAAGUUUCUUCAGUUGCUGGACAAAUACCCCAGCACCCCUAUUUAUAGGCUAUCCACCUCCUCAAUGUGUGGUGGAAAUGCCUUCUCAAAUAUGUGGCCAGAAUUCUCCUUCCAGAACUUUCAGGGACUAAACGGUAAUUUUACACCCCUGGGAGAAUUCUGGAUUCUGCUGGCCAACCAAUAUGUGGGCCCCAGCUGCUGGUGGGAAAUCUGCUGCCCUUGCAGAUUUCUGGAAGCUUUUGGGCUGUUCCAGCCUGUUCUGGGAGCCACUGGCCCAUUCUGGGCGCCUUCUGGAAUUUUCGUAGGCCAACCAGACUCCCCUGGAAUUUUCGUUGGCCAACCAGAACCUCCUGGCAGCUUCCCGCGCGCCCCAGCUGCUUCUGGAAGCUUCGGGCGCCUUCCAGCCCGUUCCGCCAAUUGACCCUCGUCUGGCACAGAUCCGUAGGCCAACCAGUCUUCCGUAGGCCAACCGUAUCCGCAGGCCAACCAGCUCCGUAGGCCAACCGUAUCCGUAGGCCAACCAGCUCCGUAGGCCAACCGUAUCCGUAGGCCAACCACGCCCCGCUGGCCAACCACGCCCGCUGGCCAACCACGAAUCUGCCAAUUGCCCGUUGGCCAGCCAACUGCCUGCCCCGCAGCUGCUGCCACCAAUCGCCCCUUGGCACUCCAUAGGGCUGUCCCACCAUUCUUCCUUCACAAAAUUCUUUGGAUUUUAGGGAGGCAUGAGAAGAGUCGUGACAUUCUCCCCCAGCUAUUCCCGCGACGCCCUCGUCGCGUCUCCACGAAGUCGCACCUUCGACCUCCAUGGUCUACUCUCCCAUGGUGCAGAUGGAGAACGUCCCUUAGACUUUACCUCCCUUGGAGAAUCAACAUCCACUCUAUGAUUCUCCACACAAGUCUUCACAAACCAUUUGACAUCCAUCACCAUGUGAUGCCAAAAGAACUCACGUCCAAGCAUUGCCAUCAUCUUUCUCACACUUGGACGGCCACGAAUCAUGAAGUCAUGACACCACCUCAUGACCUCCUCUCGUAACUUGCCCCAUCUAGGCACAAAGAUGCUGCCACGCCUCGUCUUAAUGAGCCCACCAUCAACCACGAACUUCCUUGUUACCCCAUCGCAAGCCAACCUUACCAGUUGCUUGGCUUGCCCAUCACGCAUCGUUGCCUCCUUGAUGCGCCUCAACAAGGAAGACUUUGGACCCAUCGCGUCGACAGUCAUCCUCCCCAUCAUCCUAUCCAUCUCCGCCCUUAGGAAAUGGUUCUCCUCCUUGAUGGCAGCAUUCUCCUCGGAAUGGGCAUGCCUAAGUGUCCCCAUCUCACUCGCUAGUUUGUCGACGGCAGAGUCGAGGGCACCUUGCAUCUCCUCACGGAACUCUUCCAUCCCAUUGCCAAGUUCCUCGAUGCGGGUGUCUACCUCCUCGAACUUCUCUUCCUCCUCGAUCAAGACUAGCUCCACCUUCGCAAGACGGGUCUCCAAAUCACCGAGCUCCUCCCUAGCUCGUGUAGGCUCCCUCGAUUUGCCCCUUCCUUUCCUUUUGCCGCCAGCAUGCUCCUCCACCAUUGGAGCAACUCCCCCAGCAAUCACCUCGCUUGGAUCAGACAUCUUUCCUCCAAUCAAGCAAACCAACGCUCUGAUACCACUUGUCACGGGCUUAAUGAUUCCAACCCCAAAAAUCGCUUAAGCCGUGCGGCACUCAGCUCAGUCCGUCGAGCUAAGUCAGCCUAACCUCACUAUCACGCAGCGGAAAGUAAUUUGAAGGGUUGUGAAGAGCUCGGCCAGCUUCUUGUGGGAUGAAGGAAGCUAAACUAGCUAAACUAGCUAGAAGGGAAGAGAAUUGGGGAAAAUGGCUUUUAUAUUACACUUGGGAAAAUUUACAAGGCAAGUAUACAAGAAAGCUCACAAAUACACCACAAAGUGUGUACAAGGUGUCCCAAAGGCUCUUUAGAUGUAGGAGGCUUC
rnacentral:lncRNA from 1 species